UCGGGACUCCGCUCGAAGGAUGAUAUAAACCAGAUGUUCGCCGCUCGCCGUCGAAACUACCGAAUCAGUUGGACGUUCGCGGUAAAUGCAGCACAAACAGCAGCACCGACGGCACCAACCACCUUUAUAAGGUGAGUUCCUUCCAAUCAGGAGAUAAGACGGGUUAAUUGAUUCGAUUCGCACCGAGGCUGCCGUGCAGGCGCCCGAAGGGGCCGUUACGUACAUACAUACACAACGUCAUCGGAACGGCGAAUUUCGUUGGCCACCUGCCGCGGGGCAGCGUAAAAAACUAUAAGCGUCGCUGUGCGUAUGUGUACGUGUGUAGGUAUACCCGCUCGCGAUGAAUUUUACAAUUUUGCUUCGUUAUUGCGAGUCAGCUUUGUGUAAUUACGUUGUGCAAAGUUAUAUGUACGAGCGUUUUCUUAGCGCAACUUUAACCAAACUAAACUGUACCUACCUACACACAACGCGUUCCUCGUUGGUAUAGCGUGUGUAAUCCCGUAGACGUACGAACGCGCGUACACACGCGCACACACACACUUAUCGUACACCGGGUAUGUAAUAUACAACGGUAAAAGGUAACGUACACGUACGUAUAUGUAUAUACACAUACAGAUUUUUUUUUGUACAUUUUUUUUUUUUUCCGUAGUUUUUUAGUACACAGAAAACGGACGCAAACGAACUUUCAACGACUCUGAAAUACCUGCACAGGGAACCCAUCCACGGGUUACGCCGGGCCGUAUAACCCGAACAUUUUUCUGCUCGUACACCGCAAAACUCCGCGGGUAUACAGCCGGCGGGCAGACCGGUGCCAUAACCCGCACCUUAAAACUUCCUUUAACAGCGAAACUGGCAAAGAAACGCGCGAAAGAUUUAUUUAAGAUAUUGUUACUCGCCAUUGUCUGCCGAGGCUGACGAUGAAUGUUGAAACCACUCGGGUACAAACAUUUAUUUAUUUAUUCAUUUUUAUCUUUUUUUUCUUUUUUUCUUUUUUUCUUUUUUUCUUUUUUUCUUUAUUUAUUACCGUAGUCGUUACUUUUUUCUGUUUCUUUACCGCGGGGCACGAUUCUUUGUAUCGCGCUAAAUUUUACACCAAUAUCUUGAAAAAAUCUUUAAGAAUUUUUUCACUCCGACGAAAAAUCAUCGUCAAUUAUAUCCCGCUCCGGAAGUCAAUGGAAUAAAUCAGAGACAAAACUACGAUAAAAUAUUGCCGUCCGACGAAUAUCUCCACCUUAUAUAUGUAUAUGUACAUGUGUGUAUCUCGUCGUGUAAUCGUUUACUCAUACGUAUAUAUAUAUACAAGAGCAUAUAAUACGGUAUACUAUUAGCUUUGAUUUAUACGAUCAGUCGCAGUAAUCCGAUCUAUACCAUAGGUAUAUUGGUUUUCAGAUAUGAAAAGUCUACGAAACACGAUGUCCUAUAAAAGAAAAAAAAAUUAAAAGAAAAAAACCGAAAGAGACGAACAAAAAAUAAUGACAAAAAAAAAAAAAAACUAUUUGAUACGAGGUUAGCUUCGACGAAAAACUUGUCGAUAAUCAAUCUUUCGUAUCAAAACACGAAUCGGAACGAGGGCCGACCCCGUGCUACGGCGAUCGAAAAGCGAACCGAUGUUAUAUAGAUCGUAUACGGUAUACCUUAACCCGAUCAGCAAUCUAAUCGACUAAAUAAAAUAUAUAUUGUACUAAUAGGUUGCCACAAUACAUAUGUAUACCUACGUAUACAUACUACGACGUAUGCGUUGCCCCGGAAUAUCAUACCGAUUGCAAGAUAAUUUAUGUACACCGAAAUUAUUUGGUUAACGUAUCCCUCUCCGUGUCCUCUUCACUCCGUAACCCACGCGUGCAGCGUGAAGGAGUGCGCUCUUUACAACGAGUAUCUCGAGGAGAAAAUUUUUGAAAAAAAGAAAGAAAAAAAAAUCCUUCGAAUAAAAAAAAAAAAGGUGAGUAACCGAGAAGAUGACACACACGUGAAAAGCGAGCGCGAGAGAGAAAGAAAAAAAAAAGAGACGGAACGGAGCGGUGAGGAAAAGGGGAAAAACAAAAGCUGAAAAAUUGGAAUAAGGAUCCGAGGCGUUAAAAAACGAAUUAGUGACUUACGUUAGCCAGCUCCCAUUAGUCUAAUGUAAUAAAGUGUGUUAUUAAGUCACCGUGGGAUCGCAGGGGAACCGGUGCCCCGGCUGCGGGAGCAGCUUCGGUGUCUCAUUCGACGCGGAUAGAAAAACGAACUUAGGUGAGAGCAAAAAAAACAUAGCGAGCGAACGAAACGAGAGAAUGAAUGUGAAAAUAAUCAAACGCGAAGUGAGAGAGAAAAAUAACAACAACAACAACAAUGAUAAAUAAUAAUAAUAACAAUAAAAGAAACCCAAGGGGCGGAGGGGAGGUGGAAAAAUUAAUGGUAGGCCAUAAAACACGCUGGCGUAAAAUGAAUGUUAAGACGACCGUGGUGGUAAGUGUGGAAACGAAACACGUCCCUGCACACUCUACCUGUGUAUGCACAUCGUACAUGCGUACGCGUGUGUUGCACGUGUAAACGGACACGGCACAGCCACACGCAUCUUUUCAGUCCUCCGGGCUCGGACCGACUCACCUGCCCGCUCUCUUCUCUCGCGAUCUCUCAUUUUCUCUCGCUUCCUAUCAAUUUUUUUUCUUUCCUUUUUUUCACUCCCCCCCUCUCUCUCUCUCCCUCUCUCUCUCUCCCUCUCUCUCUUACGCAGGUUGACCGCGGGCACCUCAAUUCCUCGUACAAAUGAACAAUUAUUCACUGCGCAUGCUUUGCGUUAAUCGCCUGGCUUAUGGCCAGCACGAGCUGCUAUUCCCAAAGUACAAGAGAGAGAGAGAGCGGGAGAGAGAGAGGAAGAGCCGCACGUCCGUUCGGAGGGAUAGAAGGGGAUGGAAAACGGGAGGAAGGUAGAGAGAGAGAGAGAGAGAGAGAGAGAGAGAGAGAGACGGAUGGAAAAGGAUCUCAACCGAGAGGCAACAUCAGCACGAGGUAAUCACUUCUUGUCGCCGUGGAUGUUUACAUCUUUGAAACCCAAGAGAAGCAGAAGCAACGGAAGAAAUGGUCGCGCGGCGUCCGAGAGGAGGGAAGGGAGAACGUCGACGUGAAGUUGAUAAACUUUUGAAAAGAUAAAAGGAAAGACGCGCACCGUAUUAUACCUAUACGGGGUGUACCUGCGAGCUUAUGGUUAAAUAAUAUAUCGGCAUGAGUGUGCGGCCGAGGAUAUAUAACGAUAAUAUUAACAAUCGUGGUAGUUGUAAUAACAAUAAUAACAAUAAUAAUGGAAUGUGUACAAGUGGCGAGUAUACAAAAGGUAAAUCUCUCCCAUUCGCGGUUGAAUACCUUCUGUGCACCUUAUGUAUACACAUUGUACCUUCGUGUAUAUAUAUGUAUAUAUAUGUAUAUAUGUAUAUAUUCGUGUGUACAUAGGUAUAGUUUUCAAUGACAUAAUGCGACCGAGGUAUAUAGGCGCAAGCGAUGCAUGUAGCUUUCAGCCUCUUCGGCUGCGAGGAAAGAUUUACAAUAAUAAGCGCUAGGGCGAAACGAAUAACGGCGGAAAUUCGUUCCGCAUCGGGGUGUACGGUGUAUCGGCAAAAGCAACCAGAAACCAUACGGACGUACCGCUGCUGCAAUCCAGCUCCUGCUCCUACGGGAAUGAAAAACUACCCCGGCUGGGUGGCUCGGAGUAGUAGAAGCUACUUAAUAACUUUCACGAGGAUUUACAUUCAACGAAGCGGAAUGAGGCUCCUCCUUCGGAAGGGGGGGAGUGUAUAGAUAGACGGAUAGACACUUCAAGUUUUCUUUGGCUGCAGUUUAGCGAUUCAACCUAGCGAACAGAUGAAACGUACCCCUCAACAAAUUGCUGCUGCAGUCCACGUUGAAUUCGUAAUUCCGGUAAUCGGUAAAGGCGGUUCACCGGAUCAGGGGCGGAAAAUGCUGGCUAUUUCAGUCUCUCGCCGCAUCCGUCGGAGGGUUAUCAUUUUUUUGCCGUUGGACGAUCGCUCCCUGAAAAACGUCGCACGUUUCGAAAAUAUGAUUUUAUCUCCGAAGCGAGUUCAGCGUCGUUUUCUCUUUCUCUUAUACUUUUCAGUUUUCAAGGACUGUACCGCGCCCGGGUGUCGCAUAGCUGGACUGGUUUUUCGUCCUCGAUAUAUAUAUAUAUAUAUAUAUAUAUAUUGUAUGCGGAUAACUGGUUAGUCCGAAUACCCGGAACUUCGCUAUACGUAAAAUUGCAGGGAUAGUUGCAUCGGGCGUCCGUUCGUACGGAAUGUAAACGUCCCUCCAGCAUCCAUUCGAUGCGCGGAAUCGGCGGAUAUCGUCUUGCCGGGUAAUCGGAGCCGUAGCCCCGGGAGAACCC